rnacentral:rRNA from 1 species
GUCUGGUGCCAGCAGCCGCGGUAAUUCCAGCUCUAAUAGCGUAUAUUAAUAUUGUUGCAGUUAAAAAGCUCGUAGUUGAAAUUUGGAACUUUAUUAUAUUGGUUUAUCUUUUGAUGAACUGUAUAAUGGGUUUCUUCCUACUAGAGUUCGAUUCUGUUCUUAAUUGAAUGGAGUAGCUAUCUCUCGGGGUGGUCAAUUGGUUGUUAUAUCUCCACUAAUAAGCAGAGAGGGGUAAAACCUUCAAAGUAAGUUAUGUGGGUCAAGGUAUGAUGAUUAAUUGGAGUUCUAGUUCAUUUACUUUGAGAAAAUUAAGAGUGUUUAAAGCAGCCUCUUGGGGCACUGAAUACAUUAGCAUGGGAUAAUAAAAUAGGAUCUUCACAAUAUAUUUUAUUGGUUUAAAUUGGUAUAUGAAGAUAAU